UCACUGUAAAAGAACACAAACAUGUUUAAAAACACACACACACGGGCAUAGCAUGCAUCUCACUCUCAUCUACUGUGAGACAGUGUUUGCAACUAUUUGGUGACAUUGCUGACUUCAAUCUAUUAUUAUUAUUAUUAUUAUUAUUAUUAUUAUUAUUAUUAUUAAUCAUCAUCAUCAUAUAUUGCAUGGUUUAAACUCACUAAGCGCAAUCUUAAAUGAGGAUGUGGAGGGAGUAAAGUAGACUAUCUACUUUUUUCAAAGCUGUACCAGUGUGUAUCAUCCAAGGUGAAAGGUAGGCAAUGUAAUUAUUCCGUCUAGCAGUGCUGAUUCUUUUUCUUUAAUUCUCGCCAUUUUCUUUAAUUUUCGCUAUUCGGAAAAUUUUUGGAGGGGAUAGAGGGUGGGGAGAUUAAUGGGCCCAAUCCCAGGGCCUCUUGCGGGAGUGAAUGGGCUUUGGAUUCAGUCGACUGAAGGCCACCUCUGCCCUGCCUGUGCUGAGUCCAUUCUGUCCCUAAAAUGCUCCAUUUGGGGGCCUAACACUAGCUACUGCGGGUAGAAAUGCCACUUGCAAUAGGCCUAUGGAAAUCUAUGCCUGCAAUAGAUCUAUGUCCACAUGCUUUCCUCACUGGUAGAAAGACAGCUCCAUCCUAUCCUGAUCUUUUCCAGUCAGUAGGUCUGAGGGAUUGCUCUGCCCUUGCUUAAUAAUGCCUGACAUGUGUAAUAAUCUCUAGGCUGCUUGUGCAAUCCUCCUGUUGGUUGGGACAGCUUUCCUCUCUACCACAGCUUGAAACAGAAGCACCACCCAGUUAUUUACUGCCCUUCUUUGUAUAUGUAGCCCUGAAAACAAAACACUACAGGGGAAAGCUGCACAGAGACUCUCAGAAAAGGCAAUCUCUCAGACAGUACCUCUUAGCUCAACUCUGUGACACAGGAGACUGACUGGUGAAUGGCUGUCUUUCAAAAUGGGAAGUAUGUUGCCAAUGGACAAGCAGAGGCAUGGACACCUUUCCUACCUAUCCUAGGCCUGGGAAACCCUAUAAGAGCAACAUGGAAAAAAAGUAUGUGUUUAGUGCCAAAUGGUUCUGGUAAUGAGGAAAAGGAAAAACAAGGUUGUUGUUGUUGUUUUUUAAAAGCAACCACUCUGAAUUGAGACAAUGAAGCAUUUUCAGAAAAAAAGUAUGUGCAUGUUUUGUACUAAUACUGUUUAUUUCUUGCACCCCACUCUUCCUCAUACAAAGCCCAGAACAGCUUAACACCAUUUAUAAAGUUCAGCAUUAAAAACAAAGCUAGGCCGUGAUUCACUACAAAGUACAAAAAUAAAUAAAUCACUUGGGA